UACUGAUCCGUAUCGUCUUCAACCUCCUGCCUAGUUCGACCAGGACACGGGACUCCCAAACCAACUCGAAAAUCCCCAGAUUUUUCGCUCCGAUUCCGUUCAAAUCCGUGCCCCCUACUCCACGAAAACUCCUCCAUAUAUACUCCCGCAUCGGCCUCUCUCCGUUUUUCUAAAAAUCGCAAACCCUAGACCACCAGAGAGCCCGUUCCGAUCUCGCCGGAGUUCCGCCGUCGCGAACUUGAAGACGAGGACCACGGAAACAACCAGACGAUAACGCCGGAGUCUCGCCGGAGUUCGUCGUUUCCAGUCGGAGAUAGACGCUGUUUGGAACGAGGAGAAUCGCUGACGAGAACGGGGAAGAAGAUCUCUCGUCGACCCGCACAUCGUCGCCCUUCGGAGCCCGCCAGCACACCGACGUGGACAUCCGCACCUGACCACCGCGAACGUCUCCUCCGUCGUCCACGGCCACCUGAUUGUGCGGAGUGCGCGAGUGCUGCUGAGGAGGAAUAUUGUUUAGAGUGCUGUUCGGAUCAAGG